AAGUGGGGAUGACGUCAAGUCAUCAUGGCCCUUAUGUCCAGGGCGACACACGUGCUACAAUGGCCGGCACACGGGAAGCGAGUUCGCGAGGACAAGCGGAUCCCUUAAAGCCGGUCGCAGUUCGGAUUGAAGUCUGCAACUCGACUUCAUGAAGCUGGAAUCGCUAGUAAUCGUGGAUCAGCCAAGCCGCGGUGAAUACGUUCCCGGGCCUU
rnacentral:rRNA from 1 species